rnacentral:rRNA from 1 species
UACGUAGGCAGCAAGCGUUGUUCGGAGUUACUGGGCGUAAAGGGUGUGUAGGCGGUUCUUUAAGUUUGGUGUGAAAUCUCCCGGCUCAACUGGGAGGGUGCGCCGAAUACUGAGGGACUAGAGUACGGGAGAGGAAAGUGGAAUUCCUGGUGUAGCGGUGAAAUGCGUAGAUAUCAGGAAGAACACCCGUGGCGAAGGCGGCUCUCUGGGACGGUACUGACGCUGAGACGCGAAAGCGUGGGGAGCGAACAGG